rnacentral:ncRNA from 1 species
CGCUACGGACUUGAUUGUAUUGAGCCUUGGUAUGGAAACCUGCUAAGUGGUAACUUCCAAAUUCAGAGAAACCCUGGAAUUAAAAAAGGGCAAUCCUGAGCCAAAUCCGUGUUUUGAGAAGGGAUUCUCGAACUAGAAUACAAAGGAAAAGGAUAGGUGCAGAGACUCAAUGGAAGCUGUUCUAACGAAUCGAGUUAAUUACGUUGUGUUGUUAGUGGAAUUCCUUCUAAUUCUAAAUUAGAGAAAGAGGGGUUUUAUACUUUAUACAUUUAAUAAACACGUAUAGAUACUGACAUAGUAAACGAUUAAUCACAGAACUCAUAUUAUAAUAUAGGUUCUUUAUCUUUUUUAAAAUUUCAAAAUAAAAUUCGAAAUGAUUAUGAAAUAAAAAACUCAAAUUCAAAUUCAAAGUUUUGAGAACUUUAAAAAAGUGGAUUAAUCGGACGAGGACAAAGAGAGAGUCCCAUUCUACAUGUCAAUACUGACAACAAUGAAAUUUCUAGUAAAAGGAAAAUCCGUCGACUUUAUAAGUUGUGAGGGUUCAAGUCCCUCUAUCCCCA